rnacentral:rRNA from 1 species
GUACAACGAGUCGCAAGACCGCGAGGUUUAGCAAAUCUCUUAAAGCCGUUCUCAGUUCGGAUUGUAGGCUGCAACUCGCCUACAUGAAGUCGGAAUCGCUAGUAAUCGCGGAUCAGCAUGCCGCGGUGAAUACGUUCCCGGGCCUUGUACACACCGCCCGUCACACCAUGAGAGUUUGUAACACCCAAAGCCGGUGGGGUAACCUUUUGGAGCCAGCCGUCUAAGGUGGGACAGAUGAUUGGGGUGAAGUCGUAACAAGGUAUC